rnacentral:rRNA from 1 species
CAGGCCUAACACAUGCAAGUCGAGGGGUAAGUCCCGAUUCGUUGGGAACACAACCGGCGCACGGGUGAGUAACGCGUAUGUAACUUACCUCUAACUGGGGGAUAGCCCGGAGAAAUUCGGAUUAAUACCCCAUAAUAUCAUAGGAUCACAUGAUCUUAUGAUUAAAGUUCCGACGGUUAGAGAUAGGCAUGCGUACCAUUAGCUUGUUGGUGAGGUAACUGCUCACCAAGGCAACGAUGGUUAGGGGGUCUGAGAGGAUGGUCCCCCACACUGGUACUGAGACACGGACCAGACUCCUACGGGAGGCAGCAGUGAGGAAUAUUGGGCAAUGGACGAAAGUCUGACCCAGCCAUGCCGCGUGCAGGAUGACGGCCCUAUGGGUUGUAAACUGCUUUUGUACAGGAAGAACAAUCCCGAUGUAUCGGGAUAUGACUGUACUGUACGAAUAAGCAUCGGCUAACUCCGUGCCAGCAGCCGCGGUAAUACGGAGGAUGCAAGCGUUAUCCGGAUUUAUUGGGUUUAAAGGGUGCGUAGGCGGGGUAGUAAGUCAGUGGUGAAAUCUUCCGGCCUAACCGGAAAACUGCCAUUGAUACUGCUUUCCUUGAGUGCAGCUGAGGUGGGCGGAAUGUGUAAUG